CACAAAGCUCACCAGUGCGGCAAAAGUUCGUUUAAAAUAAUCAGUUUUGAAACUGUUAUAACUAAACAUGGUUGAAUAUUUUGACAUAAAUUUUGUUCAUCAAAAUUUAGCCAGUUUGCAGGUUCAUCUGUUAUAGUUGUACUGUCAUUAUUGAUUAUUUCACUUAGGUCGAUCUUUUGCCCCACCUUAUCCUAUGCACUGAACACUGCAAUCGUAUCGAAAAGAAGUAUGGCAUAUUUUGGGAGAAUUAUUGAAUUACUUUAUAUGAGUCUCAAUAGCUUUGUAGUUUACUUUACUUCAAUGUAUUUUAUGUGAUGCAAAUACACGCAUAUCGCAAACACAAGACAAAAACUAUUUGUCUCUCCAUCGCAACGUAAAACUCAUCGUAAAAUUUCUUUUCAUCGAAAACAUCAUAACGCUAAGUUUUUGUUUCUUUCUCAUUUCUAUAAAGAUGCACAGGUGGAAAAAAGUAAACAAGUGAAUGCUGGAUUGUCAUCGAAUAAAAAAUUGAGAAGGAACCGCACAACAUUCUCUUCCGAUCAACUUUCGGCGUUGGAGCAAAUAUUUGAAAGAACACACUAUCCAGAUGCAUUUCUAAGGGAAGAAAUCGCCAGCAAAGUUGGGCUAAGCGAAGCCCGGGUACAGGUAUGGUUCCAGAACCGUCGUGCAAAAUUUCGACGAAAUGAGCGUAACAUCAACGUCGGUUCACAAUCGCUCUGUGCAAUAUCACCUGCUCUACAUUUUUCUAAAACACCCAAAAUAGUGAGGUCUCCACAUGCCGAGCAGAUAAAUUCAUCAACCACAUUUUCAGUGAACAAACAGGCCAUAUUUUCGACUCCCCAACGAUUCGGAAGUUUUCCGUACAGUGACAUGAUAUCUACGCAUGAAGCAAACACAUGCAAUUUCCACGCAACAAAUUAUUCGUCUACCGCCUUGUCAAAUUAUCAGUUCUCAACAUUCAAAUAUUAAUCCAUUUGGGUAUUGUUUUAUAUUUAUUCAUUAAAUAAUAUUGUCAUUAUUAUUUUAUUGAAACUUAUUUUUCCGGCGUCAUAAUAAACUAUGAAGUAUUGAGA